AGGAACUGGCUGAAAUGAGGCUGUCCUUCUGGCUCAUGAUCCUGGCCAUGUGGAGAAGUCCAAGAAGAUGAAGCCUGCAAACAGAAAGAAAAGGAGAGCAAUAAUGAGAGUAACAUUUCGGUUGUCACUUAGCAUUGCUGAGGUCCAGGCCAUUGUCCUGGUUCCGGUGAGCUCUCUUUCCUUUCUGUGAGCCGGCUUCUUAAAGGAAACAAGAAUCCAUGUUUUGCUCAGGCUAGUACAUGCUGGAUUGCUAUCAUUAGCAAUUAAAUAUUUCCCUGAGGGGCUUUACUAAGGAAGCAGCAAUGGAAUCAUUUUCUCUCUUUUGCAGCCUGUUGGAGCUCCGCCCCUCUCCAUUUCAGCCCUACAGAAUCGUCUCUAACAUACAGAAGUCUUCUCACCACAGCAAUACAUUUUGAAGAAUAUAGACCAAGACCCCAACAGAAGGAGAUAUGCCCUGUAUUCCCAAGAGAAGAAGCCUACUUUACUACUCCAGCAAGGUGGGAGGCAAUUUUUCUGCUUGCCCAGAGACAAGCUCAACCAAUAAGAAAAUACCACAACUCGGCCAAUGAGAAACUGUCACCACCCUUGACUCUCCCAUUCCUCUAUUUCCGUUUUCCUCUUAAUCUUCUCCAUUUGACAGAGUUGUGCAUGGAAAUAAAUAGGUUUUGAAUUAA